GAUGAACGCUGGCGGCGUGCCUAAUACAUGCAAGUCGAGCGAACUGAUUAGAAGCUUGCUUCUAUGACGUUAGCGGCGGACGGGUGAGUAACACGUGGGCAACCUGCCUGUAAGACUAGGAUAACUUCGGGAAACCGAAGCUAAUACCGGAUAGGAUCAUCUCCUUCAUGGGAGAUGAUUGAAAGAUGGUUUCGGCUAUCACUUACAGAUGGGCCAGCGGUGCAUUAGCUAGUUGGUGAGGUAACGGCUCACCAAGGCAACGAUGCAUAGCCGACCUGAGAGGGUGAUCGGCCACACUGGGACUGAGACACGGCCCAGACUCCUACGGGAGGCAGCAGUAGGGAAUCUUCCGCAAUGGACGAAAGUCUGACGGAGCAACGCCGCGUGAGUGAUGAAGGCUUUCGGGUCGUAAAACUCUGUUGUUAGGGAAGAACAAGUACAAGAGUAACUGCUUGUACCUUGACGGUACCUAACCAGAAAGCCACGGCUAACUACGUGCCAGCAGCCGCAGUAACAC
rnacentral:rRNA from 1 species